AUUGAACGCUGGCGGCAUGCCUUACACAUGCAAGUCGAACGGUAACGGGCCUUCGGGUGCCGCCGAGUGGCGAACGGGUGAGUAAUACAUCGGAACGUGCCCGAUCGUGGGGGAUAACGAGGCGAAAGCUUUGCUAAUACCGCAUACGAUCUACGGAUGAAAGCAGGGGACCGCAAGGCCUUGCGCGGACGGAGCGGCCGAUGGCAGAUUAGGUAGUUGGUGGGAUAAAAGCUUACCAAGCCGACGAUCUGUAGCUGGUCUGAGAGGAUGAUCAGCCACACUAGGACUGAGACACGGCCCAGACUCCUACGGGAGGAAGCAGUGGGGAAUUUUGGACAAUGGGCGCAAGCCUGAUCCAGCCAUGCCGCGUGCAGGAUGAAGGCCUUCGGGUUGUAAACUGCUUUUGUACGGAACGAAAAGCCUUCUUUUAAUACAGGAGGGUCAUGACGGUACCGUAAGAAUAAGCACCGGCUAACUACGUG
rnacentral:rRNA from 1 species